rnacentral:rRNA from 1 species
UACGUAGGGUGCGAGCGUUGUCCGGAAUUAUUGGGCGUAAAGAGCUCGUAGGCGGCUUGUCGCGUCGGAUGUGAAAGCCCGGGGCUUAACUCCGGGUCUGCAUUCGAUACGGGCAGGCUAGAGUUCGGUAGGGGAGAUCGGAAUUCCUGGUGUAGCGGUGAAAUGCGCAGAUAUCAGGAGGAACACCGGUGGCGAAGGCGGGUCACUGGACCAUUACUGACGCUGAGGUGCGAAAGCGUGGGGAGCAAACAGG